AACGAACGCUGGCGGCAGGCUUAACACAUGCAAGUCGAACGGCAGCACGGGUGCUUGCACCUGGUGGCGAGUGGCGAACGGGUGAGUAAUGCACCGGAACGUAUCCAAUAAUGGGGGAUAACGCACCGAAAGGUGUGCUAAUACCGCAUACGCCCUGAGGGGGAAGGCGGGGGAUCGUAAGACCUCGCGUUAAUGGAGCGGCCGAUGCCGGAUUAGCUAGUUGGUGAGGUAAAGGCUCACCAAGGCGACGAUCCGUAGCUGGUCUGAGAGGACGACCAGCCACACUGGAACUGAGACACGGUCCAGACUCCUACGGAGGCAGCAGUGGGGAAUUUUGGACAAUGGGCGCAAGCCUGAUCCAGCCAUGCCGCGUGAGUGAAGAAGGCCUUCGGGUUGGUUAAAGG
rnacentral:rRNA from 1 species